GGAAGAGGCACAUGUGGGGACUCCCAGUGGACAGCAGCGAGGGAGACGUCAAGGAGGGCUUCAGAAUUGGAUGAAGAGGGGAUGGAGGUUGCUGUGUGUCGUCAUGGGUUUCUUUUGAAAGCCCUUAAUAUGUUCAGGGGAGAGAUAUUUGCCUUCCCUCUGUAUCUUCAGAAGGAGCUCAUGCCAGCCAAGGCAAAAUUCUUCACAAUGGAUGUGGCUUGCAAAUAUUGGCCAUAUUUGGAGAAAGCUGCUAGAGUCCUUCCUGCUCUUCAGGAGAUCACCGAAAUGAAACCAUUCCUCAGUGUAAUGCAUGCUUGAGCCCAUGCUACAAAGUGUGAGCUAACAGAUUAAAUGGAGUGGUAGGAACCAGGAAGGAACAGGAACAACAGCCGGUGAGGAGGUGGAUCAAGUGAACAGCUACCUCUCACUUUGUACCCCGACGACCAAAUACAUGUCAAAUGCAGCACGGGUGGACAUGCUUACCUUGCAUGCUAUGGGGUGGAACCACAAAAAAAGUCUCUCUAUACAUUAGGCACUUUCCACAAGAUAUGUGAAG